rnacentral:lncRNA from 1 species
CAGGGGUAUCAUGUGGUAGUGGUAAAAUUUAUAGUUGGAAUAAGGAGUUUGGUGUGAGAUGAAAUCUAGAGAUAAGGUAACAUGAUGCAAGACACAGUGGAGUUCAGAUGAUUGUUGUGAUGUAUGCAAUAAUCUAUGUAGAAAUGAUCUAUGAAGGUCACAGUUGCAGCUGAGAAGAAACCUGUGCUAUUAUUACAACUGGUAGAUAUGGGCUGAACUUAAGCUAAAUUUGCAAUUUUCUUCUAAACUCAGAUAAGCUGAAGAAGAUAAAAUGUUGAAGAGAACCUUGGGAGUGUAACUCAUUUUUUAAAACUGCAUUUACAGGAGUCCCUGAAUGCUUGAAAUGCAAGUAACUUUCUAGCUUACUGAUGUCAGUUUCCAAUUCACAAAUCCUUGUUCUCUUAAGAAAUGGCUCGGACUUAAUUGUGGUAGACGGAACCACCACACCAAUGCUCCUGUUCUUUCUGAUGCUAUUUCUAUCGUUACUUCUCAAGGAACAGCAUCCUUUGGUGUGUUCUGGGGUAUCUACAUGUACAAAGGUGCAUCGUCAUCCUUGAGAUCAGAGAUGUAAUCUGCACCCCUCUCUGCCAGCAUGUGAAGACCUCUUCUUUCAAUCCAUGUGCUUAAGUCUUUCUCUUGCAAAAUCUGAUUGCAAAUUUUAGUACAUCUCAAGUCCUCUGGAACACAAAAAGUACACAACAACUUGUGGUAGCAAAUUGAUUUCAAUUCAAGUCAAUUCACUUUUGAGUUUUUGAAAAGACUUAUCCAUGAUACUCUUGAUUCACUGCUUAAGUUCAUUGAUUUUUUAGGUCGAACACUUAGCAGAUAAUAUCUUUGGAAAAAAAGACUACAAGAACAGUACUUUCUCAGUAUUUGAACUUGAAAUGCAUGGCAGAACAUGUGAUUGAUAUGAAACAGGUGAGCUUUCAGAAGACCAGUGCAAAAUACAUAAUCAUAUUUUAAGGUGUUUUUUUUUGUUUAUUUGUUUGUUUUUAGUUGGUAUGGUAGACCUGCCACAAUUUGUCAGCAACUUAUUGUUUAAACACUAUAAUUAAUAACAAAAGACAUAUGACUCUACAUACAAUUCUGGACUCCCUCCCAUCAUGAUUAAAGUAUAAAACAACAAACAGAAUUUCACAUGUUAUUCUUUUCCCUUGAAGAUCAAACACUACAACAUCUCUUGGAUAAAAGGAAGCUAAAUAAAAUACAGACAUGUAAUAAAAAGUGCA